GACAGAGGGUGCAAACGUUGUUCGGAAUUACUGGGCGUAAAGCGCGUGUAGGCGGCCAAGCAAGUCGGAUGUGAAAGCCCUCGGCUCAACCGGGGAACUGCGUCUGAUACUGGAUGGCUUGAAUCCGGGAGAGGGAUGCGGAAUUCCAGGUGUAGCGGUGAAAUGCGUAGAUAUCUGGAGGAACACCGGUGGCGAAGGCGGCAUCCUGGACCGGCAUUGACGCUGAGGAGCGAAAGCCAGGGGAGCAAACGGG
rnacentral:rRNA from 1 species